UUACGGCCAUAUCGCAGUUAAACACACCGGUUCCUGUACAAUCACCGAAGUUAAGCAACGUCGAGCCUGGUCAAUACCUAGAUGGAUGAACGCUUGAAAGUACCAGAUGCUGUAAG